rnacentral:lncRNA from 1 species
GGGUUGUAUGGGGGAAAAUUGAAAAAGCAAGUGAAAGGCAUUGAGCUCAAUUGUUGUGAAAAGAGAAAAAUUCAUGAGAAAAAGAAAAGAAAAGAAGAAAAGCAUUAAGAUGAGCUCAAUGAAAAAGAAAAGAAAAGGGAAGAAGUUGGGAAUGAGAGACAUUGGUGAGAGAGUUGUACCUAAAUGUUGAAUAUUUUGUUAGCUCUCUUGACUCAAGGAUUUUGCGUUCUAGAAAAACC